CUUAAAAAAUUCCUCUCAAACAACCAGUACCAGCCACUGCAAAAAUGUACCAAAUGGUAAAGACUAAUGACACAGUGAAGAAACCGUGUCACCUAAUGGGCAAAACAACCAGCCCGUAACAAAAUGGCAGG